CUUGGCCUGCCGUACAGAAUGACUGAGCGAAUGCUGAGCCUACUACCCACUGCCCCUGGAGGACAGGUUUGUUCAUGGGCUGCCAGCUCCUGCAGCGCUCCCUUUGCCAUCUCAAGUUUUCCAUGCAGCCAACAGACCACGGUGAAGAGCUGUGAAGUGGAAGUAAAUAGUCAAGUGCCAGCUGACUGUGCUACACUCAUAGCAGCAAAACUCAGAAGCUAAAAGGGCAGGUGACUGUUGGUCUGGCUUGCGGCCAGUACUGUCCCAUAGAACGAUGGACAUUUGGGAAUUUCACGGGUGAGCUGAAUCUGUUACUUCACA